GAUGAACGCUGGCGGCGUGCCUAAUACAUGCAAGUCGAGCGAACAGACGAGGAGCUUGCUCCUUCGACGUUAGCGGCGGACGGGUGAGUAACACGUAGGUAACCUACCUAUAAGACUGGGAUAACUUCGGGAAACCGGAGCUAAUACCGGAUAAUAUUUCGAACCGCAUGGUUCGAUAGUGAAAGAUGGCUUUGCUAUCACUUAUAGAUGGACCUGCGCCGUAUUAGCUAGUUGGUAAGGUAACGGCUUACCAAGGCAACGAUACGUAGCCGACCUGAGAGGGUGAUCGGCCACACUGGAACGGAGACACGGUCCAGACUCCUACGGGAGGCAGCAGUAGGGAAUCUUCCGCAAUGGGCGAAAGCCUGACGGAGCAACGCCGCGUGAGUGAUGAAGGUCUUCGGAUCGUAAAACUCUGUUAUUAGGGAAGAACAAACGUGUAAGUAACUGUGCACGUCUUGACGGUACCUAAUCAGAAAGCCACGGCUAACUACGUG
rnacentral:rRNA from 1 species